rnacentral:misc_RNA from 1 species
CCUAUCGCUACAGCCCUACAGCUAUCGCCUGCAUCUGCGUACACUUCACUCCUUCCUUCCCUCCCUUUCCGUGUCCGCAUUACUAUCAUCAUGGUGCGCACGCGGGAGAAGAAGCCCAAGGGUGACAGCGCCUUCACGACGCGCAGGCAGAAGGUCGGGCGCAAGAAGCUCGCCCCUGCCACCGCCACACGGGCAGAGGUGCACGCCCGCACCCUUCGUCUCACCACGUCUACCGCGAUGUCUGCUGCCAUGGCAGCGCCGUACGUGAAGGACCCGGCGGCGCACCCUGCGUCGUCUGAGACGACCUCCGCGGGCAUGAAGGACAGCGAGUCCAAGAGCAAGCGCCUCAUCAUCGCUGUGCAGAGCUUCUCUGAGCUGCUCUCCGCGACACAUCACUACAAGGCAGCGCAGCGCUCCUCGGCCUUCGCGACACUCACGCGUCUGCUGCGCAUUCAGAGGGAAAAGGAUAACGCCGCUGGGGCGGGGGCGGCGCGACACAGCGGGGGCGCCGCGUCAAACGUUUUCGAAGAGUACAUGCGGUACUCCGCGAGCACGAAUGCCACCGCAGACGCUGCGGGGGUGCCGUUCUCCUCAGGCGCCCCUCCUACAUGUCUCAGUAGCCUGAGUCCACUUGAGAGGCUCAAGUCGUUCGCUGCCGCACUGGAGGCCGUCACAGACACGGACGACGAUGUUCGUCGUGAGGCGCUGCAGGCACUGCAAGUUCUUGUGGACUACCAGUGGAUUUCAUGUGAGCGAGAUGGGUCUGUUGCGCCAACGCCCUCGUCGUUUCUGGAACCGACCUCUACGCGCAAGGCUGCGGAUCUCGAGCGCUGCAACGCCCGGCUCCUGAGCAUGCAGGACGGAGAUGGCGGCCGGAGCGGCAGCGCCGAGGUGCCAGUAGCCAUCUCGGCGUCCACCUCGACAUCGAGCACCUCGGUGGAUCGCGUCCAGACGAUUCUUCAAGCGGUGCACGUGGCUCUCACCCACGCCCUCAAGCCUGUUCGUCUCUCAGGCGUCGAACUGCUCUCCCUACUCCUGCGGGUGGCGCCGCCGUCUCUGGUGCGCGCCGCCGCGCGUGCGGUCUGUAAGCAUCAGACCUCCUACUACGCCACACCGGCUGCAACGGCAACCUCGGCAGCUGGCACGGCCACCACAGCAGCGCUGGAGGCGGCCCAGGAACGUGCCGCCACACUACUCGAGGAGGAAGAGGUGUGGAUGCUGACGCUGGUGCGGCGCGUCUCUUCGCUGGUCUUGCGAACGAAGCACGUGCCGGUGCUGCCGGCGCUGCUAGGCGUCUUCCUCGGCGAGAGUGGCUUUGGUGCUUCCGGCGCCACAGCCGAGGAUUCUAUCACCGCUGAGCUGCUGCGCACGCCCCCUUUGCUCGGUGGCGUCGUUGCAUCACACGUCAUGAGCGCCUCCGGCGCGAGCGACGCUGUCGAUGGCAGCAGUGGCGGCGCUCUCUGGCGCUACCCGGAACUCGUGAACUCGUUCUUCGACGACGUGGCACCGCAGUGGGCGAACAACUGGAAGGAGCUGAUGGAGCUGCGACUGGCGCUCUUGCGGCAAGACGACAAACUCGCCAUGGCCUCAGCCCUUGCCCGAUCGUUCGCCAUCGUUCUUGUUUUCUUGAAGCGCCAACAGCAGCAGGGCCUCAGCAGCAGGGCCGGGCGCAGCGGCUCCGUGAACUUCUUCUCACGGAAGCGCAUGCACUACAUCAAAGCCCUCUUCAUCGAGAAGAUGCCGGUAACGAUGCACGAGCUGCUGCUCAUGCCUUCUGCUGGUGCAUCCGUCGCGUCCUCCACAACAGCGCCAACAGCGGCGGCGACGGCGCCACCGAAAGCAAUGAAGGCGCGCCUGGAGCUGGGGCUGGCCCUCGUCAUGGUCUGCGUCCCUCUCGCUGGCACCGAGGAGGGAUGGCACCUCAUGCGGGACUACUUCUCCAUCGUCUUUUCGCUUCCCCGAGCUACCCCGCCGCCACCGGAGCCCUUCCGCUUCCCGUCCGUGGCGUUACUGGAGAUGUCGGUGCGUCUGUUUGCGCAGGCGAUCCGGCUCUACCCCUGCGUUGCGCCGCAGUUCCAGGUAGCCGGUGACACCGCGGCGGUACCGCCUGGUCGGAACACGGGGUUGGGCGACUUCUCUGUGCCCUUAGUAUCGUGCUCUGACGCGAAAUGCGAUGGUCCCCGCAGAGCGAAAAGAGACAGAGGUGACGCUGCUGGUCCUGCAGUGUCGUCGCAGGCCACCCCUUCCUUUCACCAGCACAGCACCGUGGCUGAGCGUCUGCUCACCUUCCUGCCCGCCGUGCUGACCACCAUCAUCAAGCACUUGGUGCCGCGCUCGGACUCCCUCAACUCCGGCGCCGGUGAUGCGGCAAGCGACGAUAUGGCUCUCGUGCGGGUGCUCCUCUGCGCAGCCACGAUAUUGGAGCGGUUCGCGGCACUUCCCGAGGACCUUUUCCGUCGCGGUGGUGCUGUUCGCAGGAAGGGGCACGGCGGUAAGACCGACGGCGGUUGUGGCGACGCAGCCACAACCGCGCAGCGACUGGAAGAGGGCUUUGGCUUGGUGCCACGCCUUCUGUUCGCCCUUCGAGAACAGUCGCAGAUGCGGCAGCGCAAGCCCGAUGCAGUGAAGCGCGCACGUGCAGAGGAUGAGGACGACGGAGACAACCACGUCGGCGACGCACCCGCGCAGACGGACGACAGCGCAGCGACGCCCGUAGUGACGCGCACCGGCGUCCUCCUGUCGUACAACGGGAUUGUCGAUGUGCUGGUGCACCGCUUCUUGCGGGUGCUCUGGUUCUUGAGCAGCAGUGGUCAUCCUCUUCUUCAUGACCGCCGCACCACCUCCACAGGCAAGGCUGCUUCCUCUCCCGCAUCGACAUCCGUGUCGCCCUCCGCACCCCUCGCUGCCCUCCUCACCAAGUCGAUCAAGUUUCUCUUCGGUAGCGCCGGCGUAUCCGGUGUGCUGCAGCGGUGCACGACCCCGACAGUGCUACUGGCGCACAGCACGCUCUUCUACCUCGGCGGCGGCGGCGGUAGUGCAUCGAGCCCGAUCGCGUUGGUAGGCAGCGCCGAUGCAGUUAGCGUGGCCGCGGCAGAGACGGAGAGGACACCGAUGGCUGAGGCGGUGGAGAGGUGGGCCGAUGUGCUCGGCGUGAUAGGGGCACUCCGCGCCCGCGUGCACAUGGAUGCGUGAUACGGCGUCCCAUGAAGCCGGAAAGGAAGACUGGUUAACGUCCUCGUCGCCAAGGUUAUAGGCGUGUCGCUCACGUGCACCGCUGCCCCGCCAACAGCCCUCCCCUCUCCCCCUCUCCAGUUGUUGUUUAACUUUCCCGAAUCGCUAAGGAAACCAUAAGAGUCGUUCAUUUCUCUGUGUACGUGUGUGCCUCAUCCCUCGACGUCUACCCCGCUCCCUCCUCUCGCUUCUUUCCCUAC